UACAGAGGUCUCAAGCGUUGUUCGGAUUUAUUGGGCGUAAAGGGUGCGUAGGCGGCGGAGUAAAUUGGGUGUGAAAUCCCGGGGCUCAACCUCGGAAUUGCAUUCAAUACUGCUUCGCUCGAGUACUGGAGAGGAGACUGGAAUUUACGGUGUAGCAGUGAAAUGCGUAGAUAUCGUAAGGAAGGCCGGUGGCGAAAGCGAGUCUCUGGACAGUUACUGACGCUGAUGCACGAAGGCCAGGGGAGCAAACGGG
rnacentral:rRNA from 1 species